rnacentral:rRNA from 1 species
GAUGAACGCUGGCGGCGUGCCUAAUACAUGCAAGUCGAGCGAACAGAUGAGGCGCUUGCUCCUCUCACGUUAGCGGCGGACGGGUGAGACACAUGUGUAUAACCUCCCUAUAAGACUGGGAUAACUUCGGGAAACCGGCGCUAAUACCGGAUAAUAUAUUGAACCGCAUGGUUCAAUAGUGAAAGACGGUUUUGCUGUAUCUUCUAGAUGGAUCCGCGCUGCAUUAGCUGGUAGGUAAGGUAAAGGCCUACCACGGCUACGAUGCGUGACCGACCUGAGAGGGUGAUCGGCCGCACUGGAACUUAGACACGGUCCAGACUCCUACGGGAGGCAGCAGUAGGGAAUCUUCCGCAAUGGUCGAAAGCCUGACGGAGCAACGCCGCGUGAGUGAUGAAGGUCUUCGGAUCGUAAAACUCUGUUAUGAGGGAAGAACAAAUGUGUAAGUAGCUAUGCACGUCUUGACGGUACCUAAUCAGAAAGCCACGGCUAACUACGUG